rnacentral:rRNA from 1 species
UACGUAGGGGGCAAGCGUUGUCCGGAAUCAUUGGGCGUAAAGCGCGCGUAGGCGGCCAGAUUAGUCCGGUGUGAAAGUCAGGGGCUCAACCUUUGAAUGCCGCUGGAAACUGUCUGGCUUGAGUCCGGAAGGGGCGAGUGGAAUUCCUGGUGUAGCGGUGAAAUGCGCAGAUAUCAGGAGGAACACCAAUGGCGAAGGCAGCUCGCUGGAACGGUACUGACGCUGAGGCGCGAAAGCGUGGGGAGCAAACAGG